UGCUUUCUGUUUUACAGGGCCUAUUAGUUGU
rnacentral:piRNA from 1 species